rnacentral:snoRNA from 1 species
AGUAAGUCCUUGUAUCUCUCUCAUGCAUCGUAGAGGGUUUCUAAAUCCAUCUGCACAAAAGAAGAGAUAUCAUUACCUAAUUU